CUAUGAAUGAGGGAGAGACACAGCCGGACCAUGACAAGAUCGGGCAUUCUUUUCAAGCCUGCUUCCUCAUUUAGGCUGACACUUCAAGUCCAAGCGCUCUGUGGUUUUAUGAAGAGUAAAGCAGCUGGAGAGCAGCCUCUGCGUUUGGGUCCACUCCUGCUUCCCCAACCUGACAGACAGAAGUAGUAAAAACACAGUGGCAGAGAUGUGUUGAUCUGGCAGGGGUCCACCUCCAAACCCUCUUUCAAAUGAGGCAGUGAUGGUAGUGGACAUCACUGAUCACGACUCACCUAUGGAAUUACCGGCAGAGGGGAGAGUAGUGGUCAUUUGGAAAAAGAAGCAACGGAGACAGUCCAUCUGUUCUGGCACUCCGAGGGGAAGUUUUACUUCUCCAAAAAAGGAAAUUAGAGCUUCAAAUUGAGAACUUGG